rnacentral:rRNA from 1 species
ACGGUAUGAUUCAUGACUGGGGUGAAGUCGUAACAAGGUAACCGUAGGGGAACCUGCGGUUGGAUCACCUCCUUACCGAAAAC